GGAGAAAACAUAAAAAUAUUGUAAGCAUCAGUCUGGUCACCCUGGAGUCUUCACGGCGAUGAAAUCCAUCUCGUCGACGAUUUCCAUUCCCGUGAGCUUCCAGAUUCUUGCGACUCUUGCGUACUCGCCAAUAAAUACAGAGAAUCGUACAAGAGAAUGUCGUUCGGUCCAGUCCAAGAGUUCCCCAGACUCCCAGUAACGGUGGAAUUAACAAAGAGAAGCUAAAGUUAUGGCGACCAUGCUGAGUAAAGAAACAGCAACGUUUCCAUAGAAGAAUAAUGGAAAGAUCCGACAAAGCGUCUCACCGAGUAUCCAAGCCUCGUUCAAGUACCGGCUGGCUGUCAGUGGUAAAUUUAUCGCACAGAAAAUCAAAUCCGAGAAGCAAAGACUUAUAACGAAAGCAGUGGUCGCGUGUCUUCUUAACCUGGCGUAUCUGAGGAGAGCAACGACUGUCGCCAGAUUCCCUGAAAGGCGACGACGAACGUCUACUCGUACUCUUACUGAGUUCUGCUACUGACUCAGGAUCAGAAUUUCAUUUUCAAUUCACCAGGUAACUGCCGAUUGCGUUUUAAUACAUGGUGGGCUGACUUGAAUGCGACCUCGUGGGUCCAGGUCGCUUAUUGGCGGAGACCUGGGGCAGCUGUUGAGUUUCCCCCUUAGAAGGACGACAAUCGGUACAAGUUUGUUCAAUGGCAAAUAGGCUAUGGUCCUGGUACGUAAGUCCUAUACAAACUCGUGGACCCUUUAAGGAUGACUGAGGCAACGGUUUCUACGGUCAUUAAAUCAUCCUGUUGGAUGGGAAUUAUUUUUGAGGUACUUGCAUCACUGAUGAUUUGUAUAGGUGCAUUGCUUAUGGAAAUAAUUGAAUGUAACAGUCAAUUUUUCUUUUUAAAUAAUUUAUCUCUUUCCGUUUCUCUCAUUCAUUUGACAUUACUGUAUUCCAUUUUUCACUGCUUUUCAAUAGAGAAAACUGCAUCUGCAGGAAGCGUAGGUAUGGACCCCGGAUGAUAUUUAUUUUGUAAGAUUAGUCCUAUCAGUCUAGGUCCAUAGUAAAUUCCGUUGCUGGAGAAAAUUUUUAUGCUACGCCUGUUUCUGGUAGCGAUAACACUCAAUGUCAAUGGUGUUCCUCGUGAUAAUAUACAGGAUGAGAAAGAGAAAGAGAGAAAGAGAAGCAUAGUCGUAAUCGUAAAGACGGAUAACAUAUGUACAAACACAAUUGCCAAGACGAUUAAUAGUCAGCUUCAUGUUAGUUCUCAACUGAAACCAGAACAACGUUCACAUAACUCACAUAAGAAUAAAUUUACCAAAGGUCUCUAUGGUUGAGAGCCAAUGGUCGGGAGUCUGAAUGAGCUCAUUGUGCGGACCCUGCGUGAUCCAUACUUCGGCUGAAUUCAACAAAGCUCCCCAUUCACGGAAUGCCUGCGAGCAGCAGCCUCCGUGA